CGUAAGGUAGAGCAGUUGGUAGCUCGGGUGGCUCAUAACCAUCAGGUCGCGGGUUCGAAUCCCGCCCUUGCAA
rnacentral:tRNA from 1 species